CGCAGCCGCGGUAAUUCCAGCUCCAAUAGCGUAUAUUAAAGUUGUUGCAGUUAAAAAGCUCGUAGUUGAAUUUCGGGAUUAGUACGUUGGUCGUGCCUUCGGUACGUACUGGUGUUACUGAUUCCUACCUUCUGACGAACCAUCAUGUCAUUAAUUUGGUGUGGUGGGGAAUCAGGACUGUUACUUUGAAAAAAUUAGAGUGUUUAAAGCAGGCUCGCGCUUGAAUACAUUAGCAUGGAAUAAUGAAAUAGGACGUUGAUCCUAUUUUGUUGGUUUCUAGGAUUGACGUAAUGAUUAAUAGGGAUAGUUGGGGGCAUUAGUAUUCAAUUGUCAGAGGUGAAAUUCUUGGAUUUAUUGAAGACUAACUACUGCGAAAGCAUUUGCCAAGGAUGUUUUCAUUAAUCAAGAACGAAAGUUAGGGGAUCGAAGACGAUCAGAUACCGUCGUAGU
rnacentral:rRNA from 1 species